rnacentral:rRNA from 1 species
UACGUAGGUGGCAAGCGUUAUCCGGAAUUAUUGGGCGUAAAGGGUGCGCAGGCGGUCUGGUAAGUCUGAUGUAAAAGGCUAUGGCUCAACCAUAGUAUGCAUUGGAAACUGCCAGACUAGAGUGUGAGAGAGGUAAGUGGAAUUUCUAGUGUAGCGGUGGAAUGCGUAGAUAUUAGAAGGAACACCAGUGGCGAAGGCGGCUUACUGGCUCACAACUGACGCUCAUGCACGACAGCGUGGGUAGCAAAUAGG